CGUCAACGCUCUCAAUGGUCAAGAACUCCCCAACAUUUCUCACACCACUGAACCUAUCACACUCAUCACUUCUGGCAAUCACACUGAGACACUAUCAUUCCUACUCAUGGACUCACCCCUUGCACCAUUAGUUCUCGGCCACCCUUGGCUCACCCAACACAACCCCAGAGUUGACUGGGGUCAUAACUCUAUAUCCAUGUGGAGUAACAAGUGUCUUGAGUCCUGUUUAGUGUCUGCUUGUUCGUCUGUGUCUGAUUCUGUGUUUCUAGAGGAGGCAGUGGAUUUGUCUAACGUGCCCGUUGAAUACCUCGACCUGAAGGAGGUGUUCAGUAAGUCCCGUGCUGCUUCCCUUCCUCCGCAUCGUCCCUAUGACUGUGCAAUAGAAUUAUUGCCAGGAACACGCUCAACACGUCAGACGAGUGCUUCAGAGGUUGCUGGAGAAUGGACUUUUUGUCAAGGCGGAGAAAUGCAUUUUUCAUGCACAAUCCGUUCCAUUCCUAGGUUACAUCGUCUCGACUGAAGGCACGCAUUAACCCGCCGGUCCCGGUUCCCCCGCCGCCACGACUUGUUGAUGGGGAGACCACCUUUUCUGUCAAUCGUAUUUUGGACUCUAGA